rnacentral:tRNA from 1 species
UGAGGAUAUAGCUCAGUUGGUAGAGUGCUUGCCUUGCAUGCACAAGGCCCUGGGUUCGAUCCCCAGCACCACAA